rnacentral:misc_RNA from 1 species
GUUUAUGGUUAUUGAUCCGUAAGUUAUGUCCUGAGCCUCCACAGCAAAAUAAUUUGUUUGUUAAAAAAGGAUGACCUAGCACAAGCUUGCGCAAGCCCUUCAUUGGGUCGAGCUCGAGUUUUGAGCCCAACCUGCCUUGCUCUGGACCUUGAUUUUUACCAUAUCCUAGCCUGAGUCCAGCCACACUCACCCUAUUGCACAAUCUACCUUUGUCUCAACAUAAU